GAGAGCGUUCUAAGGGCGUUGAAGGCAGAUCGUGAGGACUGCUGGAGCGCUUAGAAGUGAGAAUGCCGGUAUGAGUAGCGAAAGACAGGUGAGAAUCCUGUCCACCGAAUGACUAAGGUUUCCUGGGGAAGGCUCGUCCGCCCAGGGUUAGUCGGGACCUAAGCCGAGGCCGACAGGCGUAGGCGAUGGAUAACAGGUUGAUAUUCCUGUACCCGUUGUUUUUGUUUGAGCAAUGGAGGGACGCAGGAGGCUAAGGAAUGCAGACGAUCGGAAAUGUCUGUCCAAGCAGCAAGUCUGAAGAGGAGUUAAAUGCUUCUUUUCUUAAG
rnacentral:rRNA from 1 species